UACGUAGGGGGCAAGCGUUGUCCGGAAUCAUUGGGCGUAAAGAGCGUGUAGGCGGCCAGAUAAGUCCGCUGUGAAAUCUCGAGGCUCAACUUCGAGCUGUCGGUGGAAACUGUCUGGCUAGAGUCCGGAAGAGGAGAAUGGAAUUCCUGGUGUAGUGGUGAAAUGCGUAGAGAUCAGGCGGAACACCCGUGGCGAAGGCGGCCAGCUGGGCCGUCCCUGACGCUGAGGCGCGAAAGCGUGGGGAGCGAACAGG
rnacentral:rRNA from 1 species